UGAGAUCUCAGUACAUAUCUCAUUCCAGAAAUUUCUGUUUCACGUUCAAAACAGCAAAUCUUUCAUUGAUUCAGGUACAGAAAAAAAUCCAGUGUUCGUCUUUACAACGAGCAUAACACCAUUGCUAUUUUGCACAACAGAUAACAGCUUCAGGUUAAAGAGCAGAUACAGGUUCAGCAAACAGUAAGCUUUAGCAAACAACAAGCACCAAUUCGAAUUCAGGAAACAGCGAGCAUCUAAUUCGAUUCAACAAACAAAGAGCAUCCAAUUUGACUAAGCUAAUAUUAAUCUUCCAUUUCGAUUUAGCUAACAUCAUGGAGACGCCGCCACCGUUGCGUGGGGCCGCCGCCGCCAGAGCAUGGGGACGCCGCCUGCGCGUGGUUCUGCCGCUGCCGCCAGAGCAUGGGGACGCCGCCGACUCAUGGGGCCACCUUCGCCUGCGCGUGGGGGCAGCUCCGCUCGCCCCCGUUCCUGGGGGAUCCUCCGCCCGUGCGUGGGGUUAAACCUCUGCCUCCAGCGCAUGGGGCCGUGGCUGCUGCCACCUGCGCCUGUGUACAGCGCCGUCCGCCGCUAGCGCCUCCACAAAGCCGUCCGCCGUCGGCCUCCUUAAAACUCGGGCUAGGGAUUGCAAUCGACACAGACAAGAGGGUGCCGGUUCAGAGUAGAGGGAAAGAAACAAGGGGUUUUUCCUCAAAAUCGCGUUAAAG
rnacentral:lncRNA from 1 species